rnacentral:tRNA from 1 species
GGUUCCAUAGUGUAGCGGUUAGCACGUCUGUUUUACACACGCAAAGUCCUAGGUUCACGCCCCGGUGGAGCCA